CAAUUGUCCACGCAGCACAGCGGUCACGAAUGCUGGGCCGAUGAAUGCCACGUGGUCACGUGUU
rnacentral:pre_miRNA from 1 species